CGACACGACCGUACCGCAAACCGACACUGGUGCGCGAGAUGAGUAUUCUAAGGCGCUUGAGAGAACUCAGGAGAAGGAACUCGGCAAAUUGACACCGUAACUUCGGAAGAAGGUGUGCCUUUAGUAGGUGAACCUGUACAAGGGGAGCCCAAUGAGGUUGCAAAAAAUCGGUGGCUGCGACUGUUUAAUAAAAACACAGCACUCUGCAAACACGAAAGUGGACGUAUAGGGUGUGACGCCUGCCCGGUGCUGGAAGAUUAAAUGAUGGGGUGCAAGCUCUUGAUUGAAGUCCCAGUAAACGGCGGCCGUAACUAUAACGGUCCUAAGGUAGCGAAAUUCCUUGUCGGGUAAGUUCCGACCUGCACGAAUGGCGUAACGAUGGCCACACUGUCUCCUCCUGAGACUCAGCGAAGUUGAAAUGUUUGUGAUGAUGCAAUCUCCCCGCGGAAAGACGGAAAGACCCCAUGAACCUUUACUGUAGCUUUGUACUGGACUUUGAACAGAUCUGUGUAGGAUAGGUGGGAGGCUUUGAAGUGUGGUGCUAGAUCGCAUGGAGCCAACGUUGAAAUACCACCCUGGUGUGUUUGAGGUUCUAACCUAGGCCCGUAAUCCGGGUCGGGGACAGUGCAUGGUAGGCAGUUUGACUGGGGCGGUCUCCUCCCAAAGCGUAACGGAGGAGUUCGAAGGUACGCUAGGUACGGUCGGACAUCGUGCUAAUAGUGCAAUGGCAUAAGCGUGCUUAACUGCGAGACUGACAAGUCGAGCAGAUGCGAAAGCAGGACAUAGUGAUCCGGUGGUUCUGUAUGGAAGGGCCAUCGCUCAACGGAUAAAAGGUACUCUGGGGAUAACAGGCUGAUACCGCCCAAGAGUUCAUAUCGACGGCGGUGUUUGGCACCUCGAUGUCGGCUCAUCUCAUCCUGGGGCUGUAGCCGGUCCCAAGGGUAUGGCUGUUCGCCAUUUAAAGAGGUACGUGAGCUGGGUUUAAAACGUCGUGAGACAGUUUGGUCCCUAUCUUCCGUGGGCGCUGCAGAUUUGAGGAAGCCUGCUCCUAGUACGAGAGGACCGGAGUGGACACACCUCUGGUGUAUCGGUUGUCACGCCAGUGGCAUUGCCGAGUAGCUAUGUGUGGAAGAGAUAACCGCUGAAAGCAUCUAAGCGGGAAACUCGUUUCAAGAUGAGAUCUGCCGGGGCCUUGAGCCCCCUAAAGAGUCGUUCAAGACCAGGACGUUGAUAGGUCGGGUGUGGAAGCGCAGUAAUGCGUUAAGCUAACCGAUACUAAUUGCUCGUGCGGCUUGACCAA
rnacentral:rRNA from 1 species